CCAUGGAAAAAUAUUUUGAGCAACAGCUAACUGUCCAGUUAGUAGCAGACAGUGUUAAGAAGAUCUUUAUGAACAUACCACGGCAGCAACAAAUCAGAUUGCCCAUCUUCGAAGACGCUAGGUAUAGAUCUGAGAACUCACUCGCUAUCAGAUUUGAAGUGCUCAGCUCAGAGACUGGCAGUUGGAAAAACGGGCAUCUUACAUCAUUUCAUCGCCAUGGCAACAGAGCUUUCAUGGGGAAUGCAGGUGCACACUGUCCAACGUCUGCUGUGUGGACAGCUCAAGUUUGGACAUGUGUGAAAAUGUACAAGAAGCACGAGAAUUGAGAAGCACUUGACUUCUGAGUUCGGUUCCAUGUGGAAUAAAAACACAUGUGGCACCAUUUCUGUCAUCAGGAAAUCUCAGUCCUCCCAGAAUUAAAUUAAAACAUAAUCGGAUGAUGAAAUAGGUGAGUCCUGGUAUGGUAGGGUGGCAAGAGGACCCUUUAACAUAAGGAGCCCCUUCUGAAUCAAUCUCAUUUCAGAACUGAGCCCCCUUUGAAAGGAGUUGGAAACCAGAGAAGAAUCUCCUAGAGGAGGAGUCCACUCUUCUGCAACCUCCUUUUUGCUGAUCAUGACUUGGACUGUGGUACGAGAUGUUGAAUUGAGUUUCUCCCACUGAUUGGUUCAACCUCUCAGCUGCUGCUGUGGGUCUGAGCCACGGCCAGGUUGGAGUGGUUCUGUGAGUUGGGAGGAUCUCUCAGCCUAGACUGGCAAUCGCAGGUAGAAAUAGAAUGGGACCCACCCAUGUCAACUACAGAUUGUCUAGUAGCUCUAUGGUAAAAAGAAACAAGUCAAAAAUCAAAUCAUUGUAAUGGGCAAAAUGGUACCACUUCAACGUGUAUUUGAUUUCAAAAAUACAUUGUUUUUAAAACCUCAACAAGAAAGUUUCUUCUUCUUCUUCUUCUUCUUCUUCUUCUUCUUUUCUUAUUCUG